rnacentral:tRNA from 1 species
AAAAAAUUAGUUAAAGUAUAACAUUAAUUUGUCAAAUUAAAAUUAUCAUUAUAGGAUAUUUUUUA